rnacentral:rRNA from 1 species
AGUGAACGCUGGCGGUAGGCCUAACACAUGCAAGUCGAACGGCAGCACAGUAAGAGCUUCCUCUUACGGGUGGCGAGUGGCGGACGGGUGAGGAAUACAUCGGAAUCUACUUUUUCGUGGGGGAUAACGUAGGGAAACUUACGCUAAUACCGCAUACGACCUACGGGUGAAAGCAGGGGAUCUUCGGACCUUGCGCGAUUGAAUGAGCCGAUGUCGGAUUAGCUAGUUGGCGGGGUAAAGGCCCACCAAGGCGACGAUCCGUAGCUGGUCUGAGAGGAUGAUCAGCCGAACUGGAACUGAGACACGGUCCAGACUCCUACGGGAGGCAGCAGUGGGGAAUAUUGGACAAUGGGCGCAAGCCUGAUCCAGCCAUACCGCGUGGGUGAAGAAGGCCUUCGGGUUGUAAAGCCCUUUUGUUGGGAAAGAAAAGCAGCAGGUUAAUACCCCGCUGUUCUGACGGUACCCAAAGAAUAAGCACCGGCUAACUUCGUG